GACGAACGCUGGCGGCGUGCCUAAGACAUGCAAGUCGAGCGGGCCUGUCCGCAAGGGCAGGUCAGCGGCAGACGGGUGAGUAACACGUGGGUAACCUACCCGCUGCAGUGGGAUAACAGUCCGAAAGGGCUGCUAAUACCGCAUAAGCUCACGGGGGGGAGGCCCCUGGGAGAAAAGGGGCGCCGGAAAGGAGCCCCGGCAGCGGAGGGGCCCGCGGCCCAUCAGGUAGUUGGCGGGGUAAGGGCCCACCAAGCCUGCGACGGGUAGCCGGCCUGAG
rnacentral:rRNA from 1 species